rnacentral:rRNA from 1 species
GAUGAACGCUGGCGGCGUGCCUAAUACAUGCAAGUCGAACGAACAGCGGUGGAGGUUGCUUCCUAUCCGUUAGAGGCGCACGGGUGAGAGACACGUGGAUACACUCUGCACUACAGUGGGGUACCACAGGUGAAAACGACUGCUUAUCCCGCAUACUAUUUGACCUCAGGGUCGAGGAGAGAUAAACGGUUGUGUUUACAUGUAUGCUUUGAUUGGAGCCGCAUUUGGUGUCUGAUAAGGUAGUGGGUGAGGUAACGGCCCAACAAGGCGAUGAUCAGUAGCCGGUCUGAGAGGAUGAACGGCCAAAUUGGGACCGGGACACGGCCCAGACUCCUACGGGAGGCAGCAGUGGGGAAAUUUCCGCAAUUGACGAAAGGCUGAAGGAGCAACGCCGCGGGGGUGAUGACGGGCUUCGGGUUGUAAAGCUCUGUUAAUCGGGACGAAAGGCCUUUUUGCGAAUAGAGAGAAGGAUUGACGGUACCGGAAUAGAAAGCCACGGCUAACUACGUG